ACUGAGGAGGAGCAUAGGAUGUUUCUACUUGGUUUGCAAAAACUCGGUAAAGGUGAUUGGCGUGGAAUUGCUCGUAACUAUGUGAUCUCUAGAACGCCCACCCAGGUUGCAAGCCACGCCCAGAAAUAUUUCAUUAGGCAAAGUAAUAUGUCAAGGAGAAAAAGACGCUCCAGUCUGUUUGAUAUUGUUGCUGAUGAAUCAGGGGACACUCCAAUGGUAUCGAGGGAUUUCCUCGCAGAUGAUCCUGCACAAGCUGAGAUGCAAAGCAACAAUCCGUUGCCUCCUACUCCUGCUGUGGAUGAAGAAUGUGAAUCAAUGGGUUCAGCAGCUUCUGCCAACUCCAUCGAUGGGGAACAUGCUCUUUCUAUACCAGAAAGCUCACAAUAUCAGCAUCCACUUGUUUAUCCUGCUUAUGUUGCUCCAUUUUACCCGAUGCCUUAUCCAUGCUGGCCAGGUUACACUGCAGAGCCAGCAAUAGCAGAGACCCAUGAAGUUCUGAAGCCAACAGCUGUUCAUUCAAAGAGUCCAAUUAAUGUUGAUGAGCUGGUUGGUAUGUCAAAGCUAAGCUUAGGUGAGUCCAUUGGUGAUGCUGCCAAGCCACCUUCUCUGUCACUAAAGCUGGUCGAGGGCUCCUCCAGGCAGUCAGCUUUCCAUGCUAAUCCGUCAUCUGGUAGCUCAGGCAUGAACUCUAGCCACAAUCCAAUCCAUGCAGUUUAGAAGGGUGCAUUCACAUGAUAUGUUUCCUGUUAAUAUAUGAAAAUGUUCUCUAGUUUGGUUGGUUAGUUAUAGUUCUAUUUGUUGGGUCGAUCUUAAUAAGACUAUUUAGGUGUUAACUGCUUAGUUGGCAAUACUCAUACCUUUGUAGGCACUCUUGUUUUGAAG
rnacentral:misc_RNA from 1 species